AUCUGGAUGGCUCAGUUAGUGAGACCAUGGUGCUGAUAAUGCCAAGGUUGCAGGUUUGAUCUCUGUAUGGGACA